UACGUAGGGUGCAAGCGUUGUCCGGAAUUAUUGGGCGUAAAGGGCGCGUAGGCGGCCUUCUAAGUCGAACGUGAAAUCCCCGGGCUCAACCCGGGAACUGCGUCCGAUACUGGAAGGCUUGAAUCCGGGAGAGGGAUGCGGAAUUCCAGGUGUAGCGGUGAAAUGCGUAGAUACUGGGAGGAACACCAGUGGCGAAGGCGGCUACCUGGACCGGUUCUGACGCUGAGGCGCGAAAGCGUGGGUAGCAAACAGG
rnacentral:rRNA from 1 species